rnacentral:rRNA from 1 species
AGAGUUUGAUCCUGGCUCAAGACGAACGCUGGCGGCGCGCCUAACACAUGCAAGUCGAACGAGCGAGAGAGAGCCUGCUUUCUCGAGCGAGUGGCGAACGGGUGAGUAACGCGUGAGGAACCUGCCUCAAAGAGGGGGACAACAGUUGGAAACGACUGCUAAUACCGCAUAAGCCCACGACCCGGCAUCGGGUAGAGGGAAAAGGAGCAAUCCGCUUUGAGAUGGCCUCGCGUCUGAUUAGCUAGUUGGUGAGGUAACGGCCCACCAAGGCGACGAUCGGUAGCCGGACUGAGAGGUUGAACGGCCACAUUGGGACUGAGACACGGCCCAGACUCCUACGGGAGGCAGCAGUGGGGAAUAUUGCACAAUGGGGGAAACCCUGAUGCAGCGACGCCGCGUGGAGGAAGAAGGUCUUCGGAUUGUAAACUCCUGUUGUUGAGGAAGAUAAUGACGGUACUCAACAAGGAAGUGACGGCUAACUACGUGCCAGCAGCCGCGGUAAAACGUAGGUCACAAGCGUUGUCCGGAAUUACUGGGUGUAAAGGGAGCGCAGGCGGGAAGACAAGUUGGAAGUGAAAUCCAUGGGCUCAACCCAUGAACUGCUUUCAAAACUGUUUUUCUUGAGUAGUGCAGAGGUAGGCGGAAUUCCCGGUGUAGCGGUGGAAUGCGUAGAUAUCGGGAGGAACACCAGUGGCGAAGGCGGCCUACUGGGCACCAACUGACGCUGAGGCUCGAAAGUGUGGGUAGCAAACAGGAUUAGAUACCCUGGUAGUCCACACUGUAAA